CCGUUCGUACGNNNGCAGCAGUGAGGAAUAUUGGACAAUGGNAGCNAUCCUGAUCCAGCCAUGCCGCGUGNGGAAGACUGCCCUAUGGGUUGUAAACUGCUUUUAUACAGGAAGAAAAAGGUUNACGUGNGAACUGUUGACGGUACUGUAGGAAUAAGGAUCGGCUAACUCCGUGCCAGCAGCCGC
rnacentral:rRNA from 1 species